CAGCUGUCCUGGAAUCCAUUCUAUAGACCAGGCUGACCUUGAACUUGCAGAGAUCCUCCCACUUCUGCCUCUGAGAGCUAUAAUCAAAGUGAAGACACCUUGUGUGACAACGAUCUGUUGACACUUGAUCUGAGGUUUGACAUGGGGUCUGUCUCAGAAAGUGCUCUACCUGUGCUCAAGAAGAACAUGAAGCAGGAGCGGUGGAGCUCACUCUGCUGCGAGGUGCUGUGCUCGUCUUCUUUCCUUGCUUCUCCACUCUCUGGAUGCUCUACCAUGGCACCACUGGAAUUGGGUGCUGACAUCUCCAGCUGCUGUCGUUGGUCAAUGCAUCCCUCUCUGCAAACCUGUCAAUAUGUACUUCAGAUGUCUGCACGGUUCAUUGAGCCUCAGCAAGAGCCCAAGGUCAGCCCUGUGGGUUAGGUGUCACCUGACUUCAGCUGUCCUGCAGAAUGACAGAGGGAUGGGACAGCCAGACCGCCAGAGGAAGUGCCACUCCAAGCUGCACCCCCACUGCCUGCAGCUGCCUACGGCUCUUCUCCUCGUGCCCAGAUGCUACUCUGUGGAUUUCUAGUCCCGUUGUUAAUUCAGAAACUACUUAAUUCUGAUUAAUUGCCUGGUGAAAAUAAAAAUG